AAUUUUUUGAGCCUUGUCUUGACAAGGCUA
rnacentral:misc_RNA from 1 species